rnacentral:rRNA from 1 species
UCCUACGGGAGGCAGCAGUGGGGAAUAUUGCGCAAUGGGGGAAAACCNUGACGCAGCCAUGCCGCGUGAGUGAAGAAGGUCUUCGGAUUGUAAAGCUCUUUCAACGGGGAAGAUGAUGACGGUACCCGUAGAAGAAGCCCCGGCUAACUUCGUGCCAGCAGCCGCGGUAAUACGAAGGGGGCAAGCGUUGUUCGGAAUUACUGGGCGUAAAGGGCGUGUAGGCGGUCCGAUCAGUCAGAGGUGAAAGCCCCGGGCUCAACCUGGGAAUUGCCUUUGAUACUGUCGGACUAGAGUUCGGGAGAGGGUAGUGGAAUUCCCAGUGUAGAGGUGAAAUUCGUAGAUAUUGGGAAGAACACCGGUGGCGAAGGCGGCUGCCUGGCCCGAUACUGACGCUGAGGCGCGAAAGCGUGGGGAGCAAACAGGAUUAGAUACCCUGGUAGUCCACGCCGUAAACGAUGUCUGCUAGUCGUUGGGGGGCGCAGCCCUUCAGUGACGCAGCUAACGCAUUAAGCAGACCGCCUGGGNAGUACGGCCGCAAGGUUAAGACUCAAAGGAAUUGACGGGGA